rnacentral:rRNA from 1 species
CCUACGGGGGGCAGCAGUGAGGAAUAUUGGUCAAUGGACGAGAGUCUGAACCAGCCAAGUAGCGUGAAGGAUGACUGCCCUAUGGGUUGUAAACUUCUUUUAUAUGGGAAUAAAAUGUUCCACGUGUGGGAUUUUGUAUGUACCAUAUGAAUAAGGAUCGGCUAACUCCGUGCCAGCAGCCGCGGUAAUACGGAGGAUCCGAGCGUUAUCCGGAUUUAUUGGGUUUAACGGGAGCGUAGGUGGAUUGUUAAGUCAGUUGUGAAAGUUUGCGGCUCAACCGUAAAAUUGCAGUUGAAACUGGCAGUCUUGAGUACAGUAGAGGUGGGCGGAAUUCGUGGUGGAGCGGUGAAAUGCUUAGAUAUCACGAAGAACUCCGAUUGCGAAGGCAGUUCACUGGACUGCAACUGACACUGAGGCUCGAAAGUGUGGGUAUCAAACAGGAUUAGAUACCCGAGUAGUC